AGCGAACGCUGGCGGCGUGCCUAACACAUGCAAGUCGAACGUGAAAGGGAGCAAUCCCAAGUAAAGUGGCGUACGGGUGAGUAACACGAAGGGAAUCUACCCUAGAAUCGGGAAUAACCGGCCGAAAGGCAGGCUAAUACUGUAUAGAGCGACGGAAUCCGCAAUUGGGUUUGUCGGGAAAGGGAGCCUGUAAAAAGGCCUUCGUUCUGGGAUGAGCCUGCGUCCCAUCAGCUAGUUGGUGAGGUAAAAGCUUACCAAGGCAAUGACGGGUAGCUGGUCUGCGAGGACGGUCAGCCGCACUGGAACUGAGACACGGUCCAGAGUCCUACGGGAAGCAGCAGUAGGGAAUCUUGCGGAAUGGACGAAAGACUGACGAAGCAGCGCCGCGUGAGUGAAGAAGACCUUCGGGUUGUAGAGCUCUGUCGAGUGGGACGAAAAUGCUUGGAGUUGACAGCUACAGGAAGUGACGGUACCGCUAAAAGAAGCACCGGCUAACUACGUG
rnacentral:rRNA from 1 species